ACCAGUGAUAAGAAAAAAAUAAACUACAUCAAAGACACAAGGAACCUCAUCUUGAGGAAGGAGACUCUUGUCAAAAACCCUCAGUCUCUAAGAGGGAACCCAACACUGAUCAGAAAAAAUCGACUUCCUCAAGGUAACAAGAAGUUUGGGCCCCCAAACUCGAGCAUCAGGAGGAAGUGUCAAACUCAAAUGGCCUCGAAAAGACCUUCGAUCAUAAACAAAAAGGAUAAAUCAACACGAUGAUGAUCAGGAACCUUCAAACAACGUCAACAUCGAAUAAGAUAAAAGACAAAAGAAGCUCGAUAAACAACAACUCAAAGCAAGAAUAGACAAGGUAAUGAGAAAAUUCCUUUUUAUUUCAUUAGUAAAGUGUGCAUUAUAAAGCCUUUGAAGACCAAAAAA
rnacentral:lncRNA from 1 species